CGGGUGCGUCGGUGUGACGUAAGACCGGGACGAUCGGAGCUCCGCUUACUAGCUCGAGUUUAGGAGAUGUAGCGUUACGCUUAUGUAGGCUAUCCAUCUAUCUCACUCUAUAAUAUAGCAUACAAAUGCAAAAAAAGACUUGAGUGAAGGGUAAAGGGGGAACACUAGAUUGGUCGAUUGCCAGGGAACUCGUGCCGCGGUUGAUUGGCAGGCAGGCUGGUUGGUGGACAGCUCAUCGCACCCAAGACCUGGAAAUAACCAGCGGACCGAAUGUGAAAGUGAGCAUUCAAUGAAAACAUCAAAAAGAUAGAGAUACUGAUGUCUCGAUCUCUUGUUUAUAGGCUAUAUCGGAGGACGUAGAGACAACUGCGGUGAGGAUGGAGGGGACCCCGGAGAAGCCUAAAGCCCCCCAUAAGAAAUUCCGCAUCAAACUGAAGCUCCCACAGUUAACGCAGUUGGCGCGUCCGAAGUUCAAACCAAAAGGCAGCACCGAGCAGAGCGACUCUCUACCCGGCGCUGACCUGUUAGUAAGCGCUUCAGAGACACCUUUGAGCUUCGGGGAGCUGUUGGAUCAGAAUUCCCUUGCGGAGGCGAGCCGAUUGCUGAUCAACCGCGAGGACCAGCACUUCAGACGGGUGUCGGCAGAACCAGACCCCAGGUCCCUGCAGCAGGCCCCAGGCUCUCAUGGAGGCGCUGAGGAAGAGAAGGGGG
ensembl:lncRNA